rnacentral:rRNA from 1 species
UACAGAGGGUGCGAGCGUUAAUCGGAAUUACUGGGCGUAAAGCGCACGCAGGUGGCUGAGUCAGUCGAUUGUGAAAGCCCUGGGCUUAACCUGGGAAUUGCAGUCGAUACUACUCAGCUAGAGUAUGGGAGAGGGUAGUGGAAUUCCCGGUGUAGCGGUGAAAUGCGUAGAUAUCGGGAGGAACAUCAGUGGCGAAGGCGGCUACCUGGCCCAAUACUGACACUCAGGUGCGAACAGCGUGGGGAGCAAACAGG